rnacentral:rRNA from 1 species
AAUUCCAAUAACUCUUAUUAACCCCUCGCCACUACUGAACAAUUUUAUAAUUCUAUAAAAACUAUUAUGCUAGAACUAGUAACAAGAAACUGCCUUUCUCCUAAAUGUAAGUUUACACCACAUCGGACUGUCCACUGGUAUUUAACGUAACUGUCCCCAUUAUAGCAACACUCAACCAGAAAACCCUAUAAACACCAACGUUAACCUCACACUAGAACAUUUUAGGAAAGAUUAAAAGAAAGAGAAGGAACUCGGCAAACCUUAGCCCCGCCUGUUUACCAAAAACAUCGCCUCUUGCCUAAUAUAAGAGGUCCAGCCUGCCCAGUGACAUAGUUUAACGGCCGCGGUACCCUAACCGUGCGAAGGUAGCAUAAUCACUUGUUCCUUAAAUAGGGACUAGUAUCAACGGCAUCACGAGGGCUACACUGUCUCCUCUCUCUAAUCAGUGAAACUGAUCUCUCCGUGAAGAAGCGGAGAUUUUAAUAUAAGACGAGAAGACCCCAUGGAGCUUAAAACUCAACAUACACCUCUAUUUUUCUACACCAAUUAACCACAAGAGUCUGUAUAUUAGUUUUAGGUUGGGGGGACCGCGGAGUAAAACUCAACCUCCACGACAAACGGGCCAACGCCCUUAUCCAUGAAACACAAUUCUAAGAAUCAACAAUCUGAUGUUUUAUGAUCCAAUAAGUCGAUCAACGAACCAAGUUACCCUGGGGAUAACAGCGCAAUCUACUUUAAGAGCUCCUAUCGACAAGUGGGUUUACGACCUCGAUGUUGGAUCAGGGUAUCCCAGUGGUGCAGCCGCUACUGAUGGUUCGUUUGUUCAACGAUUAAAACCCUACGUGAUCUGAGUUCAGACCGGA